rnacentral:rRNA from 1 species
AGAGUUUGAUCCUGGCUCAGGAUGAACGCUAGCUACAGGCUUAACACAUGCAAGUCGAGGGGAAACGACAUCGAAAGCUUGCUUUUGAUGGGCGUCGACCGGCGCACGGGUGAGUAACGCGUAUCCAACCUGCCCACCACUUGGGGAUAACCUUGCGAAAGUAAGACUAAUACCCAAUGACGUCUCUAGAAGACAUCUGAAGGAGAUUAAGAUUUAUCGGUGAUGGAUGGGGAUGCGUCUGGUUAGCUUGUUGGCGGGGUAACGGCCACCAAGGCGACGAUCAGUAGGGGUUCUGAGAGGAAGGUCCCCCANAUUGGAACUGAGACACGGUCCAAACUCCUACGGGAGCA